ACGCGUGAGUAACCUGCCUUUCAGAGGGGGAUAACGUUCUGAAAAGAAACGCUAAUACCGCAUAACAUCAAUUUAUCGCAUGAUAGGUUGAUCAAAGGAGCAAUCCGCUGGAAGAUGGACUCGCGUCCGAUUAGCUAGAUGGUGAGGUAACGGCCCACCAUGGCGACGAUCGGUAGCCGGACUGAGAGGUUGAACGGCCACAUUGGGACUGAGACACGGCCCAGACUCCUACGGGAGGCAGCAUG
rnacentral:rRNA from 1 species